AGGAACCCUAUUUAAGAAUCCCAAAAACUUCGACCAAAAGAAAACCAACGAAGCGCGAACGUUAACUUUUACUCUUCCUUUUCACUAUUUUCUUCACAACCCACAUAUACCGCGAGGCAGUAUUACUGAAGGCAGAAAGCCACCAUAUAAGAACAUCCUGAAAAGGGUCGGGAUCCGAAAAGCAAUAUGGUCGAAGAAGAAGAAGAGCAUAUAUUCAGAGAGCUUUUGAAUAUUAAGGCACGGCGCACAGAUCUCUCUCUCUAUGAAGGCCGCCUCAAUGCAAUUUCAGGUAUAUGAAGCAAAGCAUAUGACUUUGUGGUAUUCUG